UGGGGAAUAUUGCACAAUGGGCGCAAGCCUGAUGCAGCCAUGCCGCGUGUGUGAAGAAGGCCUUCGGGUUGUAAAGCACUUUCAGCGGGGAGGAAGGCGUUAAGGUUAAUAACCUUGGCGAUUGACGUUACCCGCAGAAGAAGCACCGGCUAACUCCGUGCCAGCAGCCGCGGUAAUACGGAGGGUGCAAGCGUUAAUCGGAAUUACUGGGCGUAAAGCGCACGCAGGCGGUCUGUCAAGUCGGAUGUGAAAUCCCCGGGCUCAACCUGGGAACUGCAUUCGAAACUGGCAGGCUAGAGGCUUGUAGAGGGGGGGAGAAUUCCAGGUGUAGCGGUGAAAUGCGUAGAGAUCUGGAGGAAUACCGGGGGCGAAGGCGGCCCCCUGGACAAAGACUGACGCUCAGGUGCGAAAGCGUGGGGAGCAAACAGG
rnacentral:rRNA from 1 species